rnacentral:rRNA from 1 species
CCAGGAAUCUUGCGCAAUGGGCGAAAGCCUGACGCAGCAACGCCGCGUGGGCGAAGAAAGCCUUCGGGUCGUAAAGCCCUGUUGUCGGGGACGAAGGGCGAAGGGUUAAUAGCCCCUAGCUUGACGGUACCCGACGAGGAAGCCCCGGCUAACUACGUGCCAGCAGCCGCGGUAAUA